AUUGAACGCUGGCGGCGUGCUUAACACAUGCAAGUCGAGCGGGCAAUUUAUCUAGCACUGAUUACUUCAAAUGGAAAUCAUAAGUGUAAUCAUGAAUUUCUACCUUUAAUAAAGAAAAAAGAAAUUCAUGUACGCAAAUAGUGAUAACACAUUUUAGUGGAGUGAUGAGUGCUGGAUAAAUUGCUAGCGGCGGACGGGUGCGUAACACGUGGGUAACCUGCCCCUAUCACUGGGAUAACACACUGAAAAGUGUGCUAAUACCAGAUAACAUAAGCUUUUGGCAUCAUUAGCUUAUCAAAGAAUUUCGGAUAGGGAUGGGCCCGCGUCUGAUUAGCUAGUUGGUGAGGUAACGGCUCACCAAGGCAACGAUCAGUAGCCGACCUGAGAGGGUGAUCGGCCACACUGGAACUGAGACACGGUCCAGACUCCUACGGGAGGCAGCAGUGGGGAAUAUUGCAC
rnacentral:rRNA from 1 species